CCCUUAGAUGUCCUGGGCCGAACGCGCGCUACACUGAUGCAUUCAACGAGUUUUACCUUGGCCGAGAGGCCUGGGCAAUCUUUUAAACCUGCAUCGUGAUAGGGAUAGAUUAUUGCAAUUAUUAAUCUUGAACGAGGAAUUCCUAGUAAACGCAAAUCAUCAAUUUGCAUUGAUUACGUCCCUGCCCUUUGUACACACCGCCCGUCGCACCUACCGAUUGAAUGGUCCGGUGAAGCCUCGGGAUUGUGGCCAGUUCACUUUAUUGGGAGUUGGCUGUGAGAACUUGUCUAAACCUUAUCAUUUAGAGGAAGGUGAAGUCGUAACA
rnacentral:rRNA from 1 species